rnacentral:rRNA from 1 species
AGCUCCAAUAGCGUAUAUUAAAGUUGUUGCAGUUAAAAAGCUCGUAGUUGGAUUUCUGGUACGAAGCACCUGCCCCGCCUCUUCUGAGUGUGUGCGUCGGGUCGCGUCUGCCAUCCUCUCAGGGAACGUACCUGCUCUUCAUUGAGUUGGGUGCGCAAACUGGGUCAUUUACUUUGAAAAAAUUAGAGUGUUUAAAGCAGGCUAUUGCUAUGAAUACAUUAGCAUGGAAUAAUAACUUAGGACUUCGGUUCUAUUUUGUUGGUUUCUAGAAUUGAAGUAAUGAUUGAUAGGGAUAGUUGGGGGUGCUAGUAUUGAGCGGCCAGAGGUGAAAUUCUUGGAUUCGCUCAAGACUAACUUAUGCGAAAGCAUUCACCAAGGAUGUCUUCUUUAAUCAAGAACG